rnacentral:rRNA from 1 species
CAAGUCGAGCGAACGGACGAGAAGCUUGCUUCUCUGAUGUUAGCGGCGGACGGGUGAGUAACACGUGGAUAACCUACCUAUAAGACUGGGAUAACUUCGGGAAACCGGAGCUAAUACCGGAUGAUAUUUUGAACCGCAUGGUUCAAAAGUGAAAGACGGUCUUGCUGUCACUUAUAGAUGGAUCCGCGCUGCAUUAGCUAGUUGGUAAGGUAACGGCUUACCAAGGCAACGAUGCAUAGCCGACCUGAGAGGGUGAUCGGCCACACUGGAACUGAGACACGGUCCAGACUCCUACGGGAGGCAGCAGUAGGGAAUCUUCCGCAAUGGGCGAAAGCCUGACGGAGCAACGCCGCGUGAGUGAUGAAGGUCUUCGGAUCGUAAAACUCUGUUAUUAGGGAAGAACAUAUGUGUAAGUAACUGUGCACAUCUUGACGGUACCUAAUCAGAAAGCCACGGCUAACUACGUGCCAGCAGCCGCGGUAAUACGUAGGUGGCAAGCGUUAUCCGGAAUUAUUGGGCGUAAAGCGCGCGUAGGCGGUUUUUUAAGUCUGAUGUGAAAGCCCACGGCUCAACCGUGGAGGGUCAUUGGAAACUGGAAAACUUGAGUGCAGAAGAGGAAAGUGGAAUUCCAUGUGUAGCGGUGAAAUGCGCAGAGAUAUGGAGGAACACCAGUGGCGAAGGCGACUUUCUGGUCUGUAACUGACGCUGAUGUGCGAAAGC